rnacentral:rRNA from 1 species
UUGGAGGUUGUUCCCUUGAGGAGUGGCUUCCGGAGCUAACGCGUUAAGUCGACCGCCUGGGGAGUACGGCCGCAAGGUUAAAACUCAAAUGAAUUGACGGGGGCCCGCACAAGCGGUGGAGCAUGUGGUUUAAUUCGAUGCAACGCGAAGAACCUUACCUACUCUUGACAUCCAGCGAACUUAGCAGAGAUGCUUUGGUGCCUUCGGGAACGCUGAGACAGGUGCUGCAUGGCUGUCGUCAGCUCGUGUUGUGAAAUGUUGGGUUAAGUCCCGCAACGAGCGCAACCCUUAUCCUUUGUUGCCAGCGAUUCGGUCGGGAACUCAAAGGAGACUGCCGGUGAUAAACCGGAGGAAGGUGGGGAUGACGUCAAGUCAUCAUGGCCCUUACGAGUAGGGCUACACACGUGCUACAAUGGCGCAUACAAAGAGAAGCGACCUCGCGAGAGCAAGCGGACCUCACAAAGUGCGUCGUAGUCCGGAUCGGAGUCUGCAACUCGACUCCGUGAAGUCGGAAUCGCUAGUAAUCGUGGAUCAGAAUGCCACGGUGAAUACGUUCCCGGGCCUUGUACACACCGCCCGUCACACCAUGGGAGUGGGUUGCAAAAGAAGUAGGUAGCUUAACCUUCGGGAGGGCGCUUACCACUUUGUGAUUCAUGACUGGGGUGAAGUCGUAACAAGGUAACCGUAGGGGAACCUGC